rnacentral:rRNA from 1 species
GACGAACGCUGGCGGCGUGCCUAACACAUGCAAGUCGAACGGGGUGAUCCUUCGGGGUCACUUAGUGGCGAACGGGUGAGUAACGCGUGAGAAACCUGCCUCUCAGUGGGGGACAACAGUUGGAAACGACUGCUAAUACCGCAUAAUGUAUCCGGAGGGCAUCCUCUGGAUACCAAAGCUUUAUGUGCUGAGAGAUGGUCUCGCGUCUGAUUAGCUAGUUGGCGGGGUAACGGCCCACCAAGGCGACGAUCAGUAGCCGGUCUGAGAGGAGGAACGGCAAAAUGGGGACGGAGAUACGGCCCAGACUCCUACGGGAGGCAGCGGUGGGGAAUAUUGGGCAAUGGGCGAAAGCCUGACCCAGCAACGCCGCGUGAAGGAAGAAGGCCUUCGGGUUGUAAACUUCUUUUAGCAGGGACGAAGGACGUGACGGUACCUGCAGAAAAAGCAACGGCUAACUACGUGCCAGCAGCCGCCGUAAAAC